AUUGAACGCUGGCGGCAGGCCUAACACAUGCAAGUCGAACGAGUGGCGGCCGGGUGAGUAAUGCCUGGGAAUCUAACUUGUGGAGGGGGAUAACUACUGGAAACGGUAGCUAAUACCGCAUAACAUCGGAUGGGCCCACGUGGGAUUAGGUAGUUGGUGGGGUAACGGCGCACCAAGACGACGAUCACUAGCUGGUCUGAGAGGAUGACCAGCCACACGGGAACUUGGACACGGCCCAGACUCCUACGGUAGGCAGCAGUGGGGAAUAUUGCGCAAUGGGCGCAACCCUGAUGCAGCCAGGCCGCGUGAAUGAAGAAGGCCUUCGGGUUGUAAAGUUCUUUCGGUUGCGAGGCGUUAACCACAGAAGAAGCACCGGCUAACUCCGUGCCAGCAGCCGCGGUAAUUC
rnacentral:rRNA from 1 species